GGGUCAUUGGAAAACGGGUAACUUGAGUCCUAAAGGAAAAGCGCAUUUCCCCUUAGCGUAAAAUUUUUAGGAGAUGGGGAGCAACACCAUUGUAAGGCGGCUUUUUCUCUGUUAACGCCGCGGGGCGGUACAGCUCGGGAAGCAAACCGGAUCAAAUACCGUGCUUGUACAACCCCUAAAAAGUUGAAGCGUUACAAGUGAAAGGGUUUUUUCCCUUUUUUCGUGCAGGUUACCCCAUUUUCCAACUCCCCCUCGGGGGAGGGCCGGCGGAUUUCAACUCCAAAAAUUAAUUGAGGGGCCCCCCCCACUUGCGGUCCAACAUUUUUUUUUAUUGGAAGCAACGAGAAGAACUUUACCAGGUCUUGACAUCCUUUGACAACUCUAGAGAUAGAGCGUUCCCCUUCGGGGGACAGAGUGACAGGUGGAGCAUGGUUGUCGUCAGCUCGUGUCGUGAGAUGUUGGGUUAAGUCCCGCAACGAGCGCAACCCUUGAUCUUAGUUGCCAGCAUUUAGUUGGGCACUCUAAGGUGACUGCCGGUGACAAACCGGAGGAAGGUGGGGAUGACGUCAAAUCAUCAUGCCCCUUAUGACCUGGGCUACACACGUGCUACAAUGGAUGGUACAAAGGGCUGCAAGACCGCGAGGUCAAGCCAAUCCCAUAAAACCAUUCUCAGUUCGGAUUGUAGGCUGCAACUCGCCUACAUGAAGCUGGAAUCGCUAGUAAUCGCGGAUCAGCAUGCCGCGGUGAAUACGUUCCCGGGCCUUGUACACACCGCCCGUCACACCACGAGAGUUUGUAACACCCGAAGUCGGUGGAGUAACCGUAAAGGAGCUAAGCCGCCUAAAGGUGGAACAGAAG
rnacentral:rRNA from 1 species